rnacentral:rRNA from 1 species
UACGGAGGGUGCAAGCGUUAUCCGGAUUCACUGGGUUUAAAGGGUGCGUAGGUGGACAAGUAAGUCAGUGGUGAAAUCUCCGGGCUUAACCCGGAAACUGCCAUUGAUACUAUUUGUCUUGAAUACUGUGGAGGUCAGCGGAAUAUGUCAUGUAGCGGUGAAAUGCUUAGAUAUGACAUAGAACACCAAUUGCGAAGGCAGCUGGCUACACAAAUAUUGACACUGAGGCACGAAAGCGUGGGGAUCAAACAGG